UACCCGGUGACUGCGUGCGUCUAGCAUA
rnacentral:sRNA from 1 species